rnacentral:misc_RNA from 1 species
GAUUGGAAUAAGAAGAAAAGGUGCCCAACAUAGGGGUUGGCAGAUGUGGUAUUCUAUUGGACAUCAAGAAGGCUUUAAUAUUUCCAUCCUCAAUAGCUGUAAUAUGAAACUUGGCUUCUCCAAUAUCCACUGCAACAAUCUUGUGGAGAAAAUCUAAAGAUGUCGUGCAGACAAGGAUCCUGGAAGUUUUGAGUUUAAGUUUCUUGGAUGUGCUAUCAUCAGGAGAAAAGAACUCCCCAAAAAAGGCAGAAAACCAAAUAAAAAAUUCAGAGUACCAUGGCGACAAUGGGACACCAUGACAGCUAAUCCACACAAAAUGGUUAAUUAGAGUUUCUUUACCUUACCAUGGGAAGCCUGAAGAAAACCAUUCUCCCAACCAUGUGUCAUUGCCCUCUGUGAAGUGCAGCAUCUCCUCUCUAUUCUCAAAGGUUAGAAGGAUAGAGCUUCCCCCUAGGGGAGUUGUCUUAAUCGAAAAAACGCUUUGUAUUUCAAAAAUAAACUAAAUUGUGAUGGCUAACAUGGGAUUUUUACAAUGUGUUUAGAUUGAGUGCAAC